AUUGAACGCUGGCGGCAGGCCUAACACAUGCAAGUCGAGCGGAUGAAGGGAGCUUGCUCCUGGAUUCAGCGGCGGACGGGUGGGUAAUGCCUAGGAAUCUGCCUGGUAGUGGGGGAUAACGUCCGGAAACGGGCGCUAAUACCGCAUACGUCCUGAGGGAGAAAGUGGGGGAUCUUCGGACCUCACGCUAUCAGAUGAGCCUAGGUCGGAUUAGCUAGUUGGUGGGGUAAAGGCCUACCAAGGCGACGAUCCGUAACUGGUCUGAGAGGAUGAUCAGUCACACUGGAACUGAGACACGGUCCAGACUCCUACGGGAGGCAGCAGUGGGGAAUAUUGGACAAUGGGCGAAAGCCUGAUCCAGCCAUGCCGCGUGUGUGAAGAAGGUCUUCGGGUUGUAAAGCACUUUAAGUUGGGAGGAAGGGCAGUAAGUUAAUACCUUGCUGUUUUGACGUUACCAACAGAAUAAGCACCGGCUAACUUCGUG
rnacentral:rRNA from 1 species